GGGUCAGUAGGUUGGUCGUGCCACCGGUACGUACUGGUCUCACUGAUUCCUCCUUCCUGAAGAACCGUAAUGCCAUUAAUUUGGUGUUGCGGGGAAACAGGACUGUUACUUUGAAAAAAUUAGAGUGUUUAGAGCAAGCUAACGCUUGAAUACAUUAGUAUGGAAUAAUGAAAUAGGACGAUCGAUCCUAUUUUGUUGGUUUCUAGGAUUGACGUA
rnacentral:rRNA from 1 species